AUGAACGCUGGCGGCGUGCCUAAUACAUGCAAGUCGAGCGAACGGACGAGAAGCUUGCUUCUCUGAUGUUAGCGGCGGACGGGUGAGUAACACGUGGAUAACCUACCUAUAAGACUGGGAUAACUUCGGGAAACCGGAGCUAAUACCGGAUGAUAUUUUGAACCGCAUGGUUCAAAAGUGAAAGACGGUCUUGCUGUUACUUAUAGAUGGAUCCGCGCUGCAUUAGCUAGUUGGUAAGGUAACGGCUUACCAAGGCAACGAUGCAUAGCCGACCUGAGAGGGUGAUCGGCCACACUGGAACUGAGACACGGUCCAGACUCCUACGGGAGGCAGCAGUAGGGAAUCUUCCGCAAUGGGCGAAAGCCUGACGGAGCAACGCCGCGUGAGUGAUGAAGGUCUUCGGAUCGUAAAACUCUGUUAUUAGGGAAGAACAUAUGUGUAAGUAACUGUGCACAUCUUGACGGUACCUAAUCAGAAAGCCACGGCUAACUACGUG
rnacentral:rRNA from 1 species